rnacentral:rRNA from 1 species
GUCCUACGGGGGGCAGCAGUGGGGGAUAUUGCACAAUGGGGGAAACCCUGAUGCAGCGACGCCGCGUGGGCGAAGAAGUAUUUCGGUAUGUAAAGCCCUAUCAGCAGGGAAGAAAAUGACGGUACCUGAAGAAGAAGCCCCGGCUAACUACGUGCCAGCAGCCGCGGUAAUACGUAGGGGGCAAGCGUUAUCCGGAUUUACUGGGUGUAAAGGGGGCGCAGACGGCGAUGCAAGCCAGGAGUGAAAGCCCGGGGCCCAACCCCGGGACUGCUCUUGGAACUGCGUGGCUGGAGUGAAGGAGGGGG